rnacentral:rRNA from 1 species
GACGAACCGUCCAAACGUUAUUCGGAAUCACUGGGCUUACAGAGUUCGUAGGCGGUCUGGAAAGUUGGGUGUGAAAUCCCUCGGCUCAACCGAGGAACUGCGCUUGAAACUACCAGACUCGAGGGAGAUAGAGGAAAGCGGAACUGAUGGUGGAGCGGUGAAAUGCGUUGAUAUCAUCAGGAACACCGGUGGCGAAGGCGGCUUCUGGGUCUUACCUGACGCUGAGGAACGAAAGCUAGGGGAGCGAACGGG